GAAAUAAAAGAGUUUAAAUUAUAAGAUAAAAUAUAAAGUGUUAUAAAUACAAAAUAUUUUCUUUGUACUAUAACUCAAGUAACUCAUAAUAUAUAAUAAAUUGAGUUCGGAUAAAAUGGAUUUCUAUCGUACCUGGCUAUCAAGGACAUCGUUAUAGGAAAUAUCGACAUGUUUUGUCCGCCAACUAAGUAUUCUCGAACCGCGUUUUCGUUUUUUCGGGAUUUGUACGCUUGGUACACACCGACCACGGCCGAAAUCGCGAGCAUACCAGCAAACACGGCACAAUCGAUUAUCCCGAACGAGUUGUGCAUUGAACCGUCCGUAUCGUCGCUUCCGUCCAUGGUCUCCAGGAUCUCGAUCUCAGAUUCUCAGAAUCGAUUGUUUUCGCGAUCGAGACGAGACAAGAUGCAAAGGAGAGUGGAAUCGCGGCCGUCUCGUUCGAAAAACGGUUCGUUUCUAAGUCGACGAGUAACAGAUGAGGAGCAGAGAACGGUUUAAACGGGCCAGCUCGGAGAGACGAUUGAAUAAUUGGAGAUUCCAUCGUUAUCGUUCCCACUCCGCUUCCUCCGUUACUUCUGUUAACUUCCUCUGGUCUUCCUCUUCCUCGUCCUCGUCCUCGCGCUACCAGUUCGAGCUCGAGCUGCCGUUGAACUGCAACCACGACGUCCUUGCGUGGUGAGUCGUGGCGUGAACCGUCUCGUCCAUCGAAGGCGAAGAGGAAGCUGAUGGACAACGAGAUGCGAUGGCCACUGGUAAAAAUGUAUUUUCGGCUAAAUGUUGAAAUGAAAAAUUAUUUCACAUUUUUUUUAUUGAGACACAGAAUUUUCAUAAGUAUUAGUAAAAAGUCAAAAAAUGCAAAUCUUGUAUAAUCAUCUCUUUUAUAAAUGAAUAAAUUUAACAAACUUUCAGUGAUUUUCUGCAUAAUUAUUAUAAUAAAAAUUCGUAGAGAAUUAUAGAUAUGAUUAUAUUAAUAUCUAUUGAAUAAAAUCUUUGAAUUAUUGUUA